GCUCCAUUAGCUCAGUUGGUAGAGCGGCGUGCUUAUGACGCGCAGGUCAUCGGUUCGAGUCCGGUAUGGAGCA
rnacentral:tRNA from 1 species